CAACUUUCAGCAACGGAUCUCUUGGCUCUCGCAUCGAUGAAGAACGCAGCGAAAUGCGAUAAGUAAUGUGAAUUGCAGAAUUCAGUGAAUCAUCGAAUCUUUGAACGCACCUUGCGCUCCUUGGUAUUAUUCCGAGGAGCAUGCCUGUUUGAGUGUCAUUA
rnacentral:rRNA from 1 species